rnacentral:rRNA from 1 species
CCUACGGGGCGCAGCAGUGGGGAAUAUUGCACAAUGGGAGAAACCCUGAUGCAGCGACGCCGCGUGAGUGAAGAAGUAUUUCGGUAUGUAAAGCUCUGUCAGCAGGGAAGAAAAUGACGGUACCUGACCAAGAAGCCCCGGCUAACUACGUGCCAGCAGCCGCGGUAAUACGUAGGGGGCAAGCGUUAUCCGGAUUUACUGGGUGUAAAGGGAGCGUAGACGGCAGCGCAAGUCUGGAGUGAAAUGCCGGGGCCCAACCCCGGAACUGCUUUGGAAACUGUGCGGCUCGAGUGCGGGAGAGGUAG